rnacentral:rRNA from 1 species
CCUCAAAUCAGGUAGGACUACCCGCUGAACUUAAGCAUAUCAAUAAGCGGAGGAAAAGAAACUAACAAGGAUUCCCCUAGUAACUGCGAGUGAAGCGGGAAAAGCUCAAAUUUAAAAUCUGGUGGUCUUUGGCCAUCCGAGUUGUAAUCUAGAGAAGUGUUACCCGUGUCGGACCGUGUACAAGUCUCCUGGAAUGGAGCGUCAUAGAGGGUGAGAAUCCCGUCUUUGACACGGACUACCGAGGCUUUGCGGUGCGCUCUCAAAGAGUCGAGUUGUUUGGGAAUGCAGCUCAAAAUGGGUGGUAAAUUCCAUCUAAAGCUAAAUAUUGGCGAGAGACCGAUAGCGAACAAGUACCGUGAGGGAAAGAUGAAAAGCACUUUGGAGAGAGAGUUAAACAGUACGUGAAAUUGUUGAAAUGGAAACGCUUGAAGUCAGUCGCGUUCUCUGGGAUUCAGCCUUGCUUUUGCUUGGUGCAUUUCCUAGUCUACGGGCCAGCAUGAAUCUUGACCGGUGGAAAAGGGUUUGGGGAAUGUGGCACCUCCGGGCGUGUUAUAGCCCCUUGUUCGUAUACAUCGAUUGGGACUGAGGAACUCAGCACGCCGAAAGGCCGGG